UGUUUUCAGCCUUGUAAGGAUGUCUUUGCACACACUGGCGGAGUUGGUUUUGACUCAUCUCCUUCAGUCCUAGCACCACGUAUUGCUAGUUAAUUCAUAGUUAUGAUGAGCCUGUCAGAUGUAACAGCCUCUAAAUGGUUUUGGAAGAAAAAAAAAAGCCAUUUCUAUAAGCUCUUUUUUUCCUCUUUUUGACUACUUUUGACUACUUUUGCACUUCCUGUACAUAUAAAGGUCUGUCUUUCCAACAAACUGAACUGUAUAAGCUCCAGUGCUGCUGGACUAUACUAGCUUCCUUUGUCCAUAACAAGAACUAGCUGGAGUGCAGAAGCUUUACCCAGACCAGAUGUUCCAGCAGCAGGGCAGUGUAAGGGAUAACCCAGGGCACAACCCUGAGUGGAGAUGUGCACUGAACCACACAGCACUACAUAUCUAUGCUAGGAAAGAAUAAAGGAAACUUAAACGUAUUUUAGGCUCUUAUGCGUCUGGACUAGCAGUAGAUGAGGAACACAAACCUCACUGAAGUAUAUACAAAAAUGGUUCUGUUCAGGCUAAAAAGAGGAGUAAAUAUGACAAUUUGCAUGUGCUUUUACACUGAUUUGAGAGCUGAAGUAGGACUUGGAGAUUCACAAGCCUCAUCCUGGCCCUACACCCAGCAAUGAACUUCUCUCUGAAAGACUAAAUUGCAUUCUUAUGAUAAAUGUUAAUAUGCUGUUAUCCUAACAGUAUGGCAAUGUAAUGAUACAGAGAAGAAAAAGAACACCGUAUGCAGAACAGUCACUAACCUGAAAGACAAUAAACAUUGCAAAGGAUAACAUUAAAUAAUUGAAAUGAUGCCAGUAGACUUUUUCACAAUACAUCAUCUACCUUAAUAGCACUUAGUUAUAGAUAUUCAAUAGAAUAUACCAUGUAAACAUUAAGACUGUUGAUUAUGUUAGUAUUUACCAAAUGCCAGCAUGCAUGAUAAUUAUGAAAGUGGAUAUUUACAUACCACCUAGAACUGGAUGUUUACUAUGCCAUGAGACUGGCUCACCAAAAAAAAAAUUUAGAAAACCAUAUAAUUGAGGGUAUGGAACACUGUUGAUUUACAACAUUAGAACAGAGCAAAAAAACAGAGGCAGAAAUGGAAAUAUUUUACACUACACUACAUGGUGUACACAAUCUAUUAAUCCGUAUAGACAGUGCAUCAAAUACAUCUGAACGACAGAGCAACAUAAAUCUCAAUUUUAUGUUUUCCUCUCCAAGUUGCUGAUAAAAAUAAAAAAGCACAAUACUGAUUUUAUAAAUAAUACAUACAUCAGUACAGAUGUAAGUACAGAUACAUAACUGUGUCUGAAUUUUAUGUGAUAUUUAAGACUACAGUGAGAGAGAAUAUUGUGUCUCUGGGCAAUCAAACACCAACUGAAGCAAUACUAAACAAAAGGAGAAAAAGAGUCCGAAAAUACACAGUGUAAAAAAAGUAUCACCUUGCAAGUCAGACUGCCUCAACCCAAAAAGCUGCUUUUAUCUGGAUCAAUGUUUGUGAUGUCAGAGACUGCAGCCUGACACAGUGAAGGAGACAGUUACGGACCACGGCAGCUACCACAGUUCAUUGCUGUCAGCCCUUAGGGAAGUUGUAAAGCUCUCAGCACAUAUUCCCAAGGGACCAUAAAGUUCCCCCUUUGCUUAUCAAUAAUCAAAGGAACCUUUUAAAUAAAGUCAAGCAAACUGUAUAACGUAACAAGCUUUAUAAGAAAACAAUCCCGCUCAGCAUAAGCAGUUUUGUCUAACAGAAUAACCUGAAGUUUGCCAUAGAUUCAUUUCACUGUCCACUUCAUUGGACAGGCUCAAAGACAGGGCAUUUGUUUACUUAUUUGCCUCCUGGCCACCCAUGAAUUAGGUCAUGGGUGUCCAACCUUUCGGCUUACCUGGGCUGCACAGAGUGAAAAGGAAUUGUCUAGGGCUGCAUCUACGGAAGUUGCUCUGCAAGUAAUGUCUCCUAAUUAUUUCCAUGGAAACUAUAGUUAAUACAAAGAGCACAAUAAAACUAUUUAAUAGAGCAAAUUCUCAGC
ensembl:lncRNA